UUGGCGAAGCUGUGCUUGCACAGCCUAGCCAAGGCGGACGGGUGAGUAACGCGUAAGGAACUUGCCCUGCAGACAGGGAUAACAGACGGAAACGACUGAUAAGACCUGGUAAAGUCAGGCGGACUCAUGUCCAGCCUGAUGAAAAGAGAUGCUGCAGGAGAGCCUUGCGUCCUAUUAGCUUGUUGGUGGGGUAACGGCCCACCAAGGCAAUGAUAGGUAGCCGGCCUGAGAGGGUGGACGGCCACAAGGGGACUGAGAUACGGCCCUUACUCCUACGGGAGGCAGCAGUGGGGAAUAUUGGACAAUGGGGGCAACCCUGAUCCAGCAAUUCUGUGUGCACGAUGAAGGUUUUCGGAUUGUAAAGUGCUUUCAGCAGGGAAGAAAAAAAUGACGGUACCUGCAGAAGAAGCGACGGCUAAAUACGUGCCAGCAGCCGCGGUAAUACGUAUGUCGCAAGCGUUAUCCGGAAUUAUUGGGCAUAAAGGGCAUCUAGGCGGCCAGAUAAGUCUGGGGUGAAAACUUGCGGCUCAACCGCAAGCCUGCCCUGGAAACUAUGUGGCUAGAGUACUGGAGAGGUGGACGGAACUGCACGAGUAGAGGUGAAAUUCGUAGAUAUGUGCAGGAAUGCCGAUGAUGAAGAUAGUUCACUGGACGGUAACUGACGCUGAAGUGCGAAAGCUAGGGGAGCAAACAGGAUUAGAUACCCUGGUAGUCCUAGCUGUAAACGAUGAUUACUGGGUGUGGGCAUGAAGAGUGUCCG
rnacentral:rRNA from 1 species